rnacentral:rRNA from 1 species
AGUGAACGCUGGCGGUAGGCCUAACACAUGCAAGUCGAACGGCAGCACAGUAAGAGCUUGCUCUUACGGGUGGCGAGUGGCGGACGGGUGAGGAAUACAUCGGAAUCUACUUUUUCGUGGGGGAUAACGUAGGGAAACUUACGCUAAUACCGCAUACGACCUACGGGUGAAAGCAGGGGAUCUUCGGACCUUGCGCGAUUGAAUGAGCCGAUGUCGGAUUAGCUAGUUGGCGGGGUAAAGGCCCACCAAGGCGACGAUCCGUAGCCGGUCUGAGAGGAUGAUCAGCCACACUGGAACUGAGACACGGUCCAGACUCCUACGGGAGGCAGCAGUGGGGAAUAUUGGACAAUGGGCGCAAGCCUGAUCCAGCCAUACCGCGUGGGUGAAGAAGGCCUUCGGGUUGUAAAGCCCUUUUGUUGGGAAAGAAAAGCAGCAGGUUAAUACCCCGCUGUUCUGACGGUACCCAAAGGAUAAGCACCGGCUAACUUCGUG